rnacentral:lncRNA from 1 species
AUACCAGGAACAGCAUUCAGCCGAUGGUAGGUGGAAUUAACUGAUGCCAGGAACAGCAUUCAGCCAAUGGUGGGUGGAGUGUCUAAUAUCAGGAGCAGCACUCAGCCAAUGUGGGUGGAGUUGUCAGGUAACUACCCCGACUUCUUUACCUGUUAAGUUAGAAACUCCCAUGCGUGGUCUGUGUUCUCUCUCAGACUUUCCCAGUGGAAUUGAGCCCCUGGUUGCCCAUGGUGGUUGCCUGCUCAGUAACACAGCCCUUCAGUGGCUGUCUUUCAUUUCCUGACUCAUCCCUCACUCCCCUGCAGACCCGCCCCUGGAACUACUUGCACUCAAGUUCUUAACUGACGGUCUGCUUCUGAUGGGACCCGGUUAUCUUUAUACAUGGAAAAUCAAACAUGGCCAGUUUUAUUAAAAGAUAACAUUGGGUUGGCCACUUGGAAACUUCACUCUUCUUCUCACCAUUUCUGUCCCUUAAACUCAGUGCUGGGGUCCUGCUGCAUAGCCACAAGCAGGUGCAGGAGGGUGGGUGGCCACAAUGCCCAGAAGUAGUUCAUGCAUAAGCCGCUGGUGCAUGGCCCUCUUUGGGUGACCUCGGGUGCACACAGAUAGGCCUAAAGGGACAUGAGAAGGGGUGCUGGUGUUGAGGCAAGAUGAGGAAGGGAAGUGGAAGCAGUAAGGCAGGCUGGGUUUCUUCUGACCUGGCCUCAGUGACACAAGUUGGCCUUGUGAUUGUACACCUGGGCUUUCUGUACCCUCAGUUGAGUGUGGGUUAGUUGGGUUAGUAUAGCAGGAUGCAUGAUGUUCCAGGCUUUAGAGUCUGAGAGAGUUGCGCUUGAAACAUAGCGUUGGUAUUUACCACAUCUCUGCCCUUGAAUGACUUAACUCAGUCCCUUGCUUCACGUGAUUGUCAUGAAAAGUAAAUGAUAAAAUAUUAAAUGAUAGAAUGGUAUGUAUUGUGCCUGACGUGCCAUAUACAUAAAUGUAGGAAUUACAAUAUUGCGGUGUGUGUGUUCACACAUACAAAAUAUAUAUGAUGUAUGUAAUCUGUGUGUGUCUGUGUGUGUGUGUAUGUGUAUCCCAAAAUAUAAUUUUGUAAUUUGCAAGUUCUCUGAGAGCUGAGAAAAUGUGAUAUGGCCAGACCAUGAUCCAAAGUGUGUAUCUGGGUGUUUACAUUGUGGCUCAGCUGGUUAAGAACCUGACUAGUAUCUGUGAGGAUGUGGGUUCGAUCCCUGGCCUCCCUCAGUGGGUUAAGCAUCCAAUACUGCCAUGAGCUGUGGUGGAGUUUGCAGAUCCCACAUUGCUGUGGCUGUGAUGUAGGCUGGCAGCUGAAGCUCUGAUGCAACCCCUAGCCUGGGAACUCCCAUAUGCCGUAGGUAGAGCCCUAAAAAGAGAAAGAAAACAACAAUAAAAAACAAAGUGUGUAUCUGCAGAGAUAAAAUCCAUGAAUGGAGGAUAAAGACCUGUUUUCUUCCAUUUUUUUUCAAUAUUGACAUUUUCAAGUUUAUACAAAAGUAGAAAAAAUAAUAAAAUGAACUCCUAAAUAUCCAUCACCCCAACUUCAGCCAUCAUCCAGUAUCUUGUUUUAUUUAUUUAUUUUUUUGGCCGCACCUCUGGCAUGUGGAAGUUCCCAGACCAGGAAUCCCACUCACGCUGCAGCAGUGACAAUGCCAGAUCCGUAACCCACUAGGCCACCAGGGAACUCUAGUAUCUUGUCUUAUCUAUUCAUGCCCCCCCAUAUUUUUUUUUCCUGGACUAUUUCAAAGCAGAUUCCAGACAACAAGCCAUUCAGCCGUCCUCUGCUGCUUACACUGUAAUGGGCUUAGCCUCACUCUUCACCCAGGGCUGAAGACCCUCUGGGGAGUGACACGAGGACUGGCCGCUGCCCCCGGCCACGGGGGUCUCAGUGGUCCCUCCCCACAGCGCUGGGGACUGAGGCCCUCGCCCCCCCACCUGUGUGCUCUCUCCUCGCAGGCUGUUGUUUGUAAUGAUGGCUUUGAGGUCGGAGCUCAUUUAUACCCAGGUACCUGCCUCCUGUGUCUCUGGACUCCGCCGAGGUAAUUCAUGCUGAGCGUCUGUCUCGACUCCAGGAAGGCGCUGCUGCCUCCACAUUUCGCAAUAAAUAUCUUUUUAAACGGCCUGGUGUUCAGGCUCGUUUCUCAUUUCCAAGGAGGCUUUUGACGGAUGACCUAAAGAAUUGCCUCCCCGUGACUGACAGGGUAAUGCAGAAUCUCAGCCAUCCUUAACUCUCCCUCCGGGAGGCUGGGUCAGAGCUGUGACGCCUGGUGCCACGGGCUGCUUCCAACUGAGGCAUUAACCCCCGUGGCUGCCCGUUUUCCUCUGCGCCUGUGCGGCUGCUGGCUGCUAGGCUGGCCGUCAGGGCCAUCGUGGGGCUACUCCGAUGGGAUGCAUUUUUGCAGAAAAUCAACAUGAAAGGCCUCCACGGGCCAGGUGAAUUCGGGCUCCCUGUCUGCAGGCAGCCCGCCAAGGCGCAGUUUUAUAAAGACUUUGAAAUCCACGGAACGCGAAAGCUCUGCAAGGCGGGGAGGUGCAGUUAGAAUUCUCUUGACAUGCCCCCCCCCCCCAUGGCAAAGGCAGGCCGUUUUAAGAUCUCCAUAUGCACAAGAGGCCCCAGGCACUCUUCCUGCUUACAUCCCAUCCAUCAUAAUAAAAUGUACCCACAUCCUGCAUGAAAUGCAAUUCCUGCAUAAGUGUCGGGUUGCAGAUAACUAGAGGCACGGAACAGAUUCUUUCCUAGAGGCAUCAGUGAGAUCAUGGCCCUGUUUGUGCUACCGGUGAAAGCAGAGAGGCUUAGAAAAUGAUGGUUCUCUAUUCUUCCACCAGACUUAGCGAUCUAAGUAUUAUAGAAUCCUGAAGGGCCUAAAAAGUCACCUGCCUUUUUUAGUUACAUUUUUCUGUGUCCUAGGGGAGUUAUAUCUUGCCUAGAUUUGGAGUUUUGUGAUUCAGAAAUCAAGCUUUCAGUUCCAGGUAGCUCACGCUGGUGGCCAAGGAAACCUGCCCUUCUGCUUUUUAGAUGCCCAGGGAAGGUGUGCCCAGCCUUUAGGAGUCUGCUGCGCAGUGACUGAUUUAAUUCUGCUUUUAUGACUGAUGAUGCUUCAAAGCCCCUCACCAGCUCCAUCUCAGAAGUCAGUCGAUAAAAAACAAAAGGGGGAGUUCCCAUCGUGGCUCAGCGGAAACGAAUCUGACUUGCAUCCAUGAGGACGCAGGUUGGAUCCUUGGCCUCGCUCAGUGGGUUAAGGAUCCGGCGUUGCCUUCAGCUGUGGUGUAGGUCGAAGACGCAGCUCGGAUCUGGUGUUGCUGUGGCUGUGGCGUAGGCCGGUGGCGUAGACCCCUAGCCGGGAACCUCCAUAUGCCACAGGUGUGGCCCUCAAAAAGGAC